rnacentral:rRNA from 1 species
UACGUAGGGCGCAAGCGUUGUCCGGAAUUAUUGGGCGUAAAGAGCUCGUAGGCGGUUUGUCGCGUCUGCUGUGAAAACUCGGGGCUCAACUCCGAGCUUGCAGUGGGUACGGGCAGACUAGAGUGCGGUAGGGGAGAUCGGAAUUCCUGGUGUAGCGGUGAAAUGCGCAGAUAUCAGGAGGAACACCGGUGGCGAAGGCGGAUCUCUGGGCCGUAACUGACGCUGAGGAGCGAAAGCGUGGGGAGCGAACAGG